rnacentral:rRNA from 1 species
UACGAAGGGGGCUAGCGUUGCUCGGAAUUACUGGGCGUCAAGCGCACGUAGGCGGUCUUUUAAGUCGGUGGUGAAAUCCUGGAGCUCAACUCCAGAACUGCCUUCGAUACUGGAAGACUUGAGUCCGGGAGAGGUGAGUGGAACUGCGAGUGUAGAGGUGAAAUUCGUAGAUAUUCGCAAGAACACCAGUGGCGAAGGCGGCUCACUGGCCCGGUACUGACGCUGAGGUGCGAAAGCGUGGGGAGCAAACAGG